rnacentral:tRNA from 2 species
GUGACCGAUGCCGAAGCGGUCGAGGCACCAGGUUGUGAUCCUGGCCACGAGAGGGUUCGAGUCCCUCCGGUCACACCA